ACGAACGCUGGCGGCGUGCUUAACCCAUGCAGGUCGAACGGAAAGGCCCUGCUUUUGUGGGGUGCUCGAGUGGCGAACGGGUGAGUAACACGUGAGUAACCUGCCCUUGACUUUGGGAUAACUUCAGGAAACUGGGGCUAAUACCGGAUAGGAGCUCCUGCUGCAUGGUGGGGGUUGGAAAGUUUCGGCGGUUGGGGAUGGACUCGCGGCUUAUCAGCUUGUUGGUGGGGUAGUGGCUUACCAAGGCUUUGACGGGUAGCCGGCCUGAGAGGGUGACCGGCCACAUUGGGACUGAGAUACGGCCCAGACUCCUACGGGAGGCAGCAGUGGGGAAUAUUGCACAAUGGGCGGAAGCCUGAUGCAGCAACGCCGCGUGCGGGAUGACGGCCUUCGGGUUGUAAACCGCUUUCGCCUGUGACGAAGCGUGAGUGACGGUAAUGGGUAAAGAAGCACCGGCUAACUACGUG
rnacentral:rRNA from 1 species